rnacentral:rRNA from 1 species
GACGAACGCUGGCGGCGUGCUUAACACAUGCAAGUCGAACGAUGAACUUGGAGCUUGCUCUGGGGGAUUAGUGGCGAACGGGUGAGUAACACGUGAGUAACCUGCCCUGGACUCUGGGAUAACUUCGAGAAAUCGGAGCUAAUACCGGAUAGGACCUUGCACCGCAUGGUGUGGGGUGGUAAGUUUUUCGGUUUGGGAUGGACUCGCGGCCUAUCAGCUUGUUGGUGAGGUAAUGGCUCACCAAGGCGUCGACGGGUAGCCGGCCUGAGAGGGUGACCGGCCACACUGGGACUGAGACACGGCCCAGACUCCUACGGGAGGCAGCAGUGGGGAAUAUUGCACAAUGGGCGCAAGCCUGAUGCAGCAACGCCGCGUGCGGGAUGACGGCCUUCGGGUUGUAAACCGCUUUUAGUAGGGAAGAAGCCUUCGGGUGACGGUACCUGCAGAAAAAGGACCGGCUAACUACGUGCCAGCAGCCGCCGCUGUAA